UACGAAGGGGGCUAGCGUUGUUCGGAAUUCCUGGGCGUAAAGCGCGUGUAGGCGGGCCGUUAAGUCGGGGGUGAAAGCCCAGAGCUCAACUCUGGAACUGCCUUCGAUACUGGCGGCCUGGAGCAUGAUAGAGGCGAGUGGAAUUGCGAGUGUAGAGGUGAAAUUCGUAGAUAUUCGCAGGGACACCAGUGGCGAAGGCUACUCGCUGGAUCAUUGCUGAAGCUGAGACGCGAAAGCGUGGGGAGCACACAGG
rnacentral:rRNA from 1 species